UACGGAGGGUGCAAACGUUGUUCGGAAUUACUGGGCGUAAAGCGCGUGUAGGCUGCUCGGAAAGUCGGAUGUGAAAGCCCUGGGCUUAACCUAGGAAGUGCAUUCGAAACUUCCGAGCUGGAGUUCUGGAGAGGAAGGCGGAAUUCUCGGUGUAGAGGUGAAAUUCGUAGAUAUCGAGAGGAACACCGGUGGCGAAGGCGGCCUUCUGGACAGUGACUGACGCUGAGACGCGAAAGCGUGGGGAGCAAACAGG
rnacentral:rRNA from 1 species